rnacentral:rRNA from 1 species
UACGUAGGGGCCGAGCGUUGUCCGGAGUUAUUGGGCGUAAAGCGCGCGCAGGCGGCCUCGCGCGCCCGACGUGAAAGCCCCCCGGCUUAACCGGGGAGGGUCGUUGGGGACGGCGGGGCUUGAGGGCGGGAGAGGUCGGUGGAAUUCCCGGUGUAGUGGUGAAAUGCGUAGAGAUCGGGAGGAACACCUGUGGCGAAGGCGGCCGACUGGGCCGACCCUGACGCUGAGGCGCGAAGGCGUGGGGAGCGAACGGG